UCCCUUGCUUUGCAGCAUCCUUCUUGGGAUUCCAGAUUCUAAUGAAGACCAGCUGAGCAGUUGAGACAUCCAGCCUCAUUGACUGACUGAGCAGCUUCUGGAUUCUCAGGCUUUCUGUUCAUAUCUAGCCAUUGUUGGGUUAGCUGGACCACAACCUGAUUUCUCACUGGUUUGGGGAUUGCUGUGUAUGCCAGGAAUCUAUUGGUCUCUAUCUCCCUAGUGUGCGGAUGACAAACAUCAGCCACCGUGACUCGAUCCUUAUGUACACCCUCAAGUCAGAAAUUACACCUAUCCAUAUUUGUAUACCCAAGUCUAAAGAAAUAUCCACUUAUACAUUUUGGAGAAAUUGAUAAGUCAUCUGAUGAU